ACAUGCAAGUCGAACGGACUUAACCAUUACUUUACUAUUGGAGCGGUUAGUAGGCGGACUGGUGAGUAACACGUAAGCAACCUGCCUAUCAGAGGGGAACAACAGUUAGAAAUGACAGCUAAUACCGCAUAUGCCUUAAUUACCACAUGGUAAUAGAGGGAAAGGAGUAAUCCGCUGAUAGAUGGGCUUGCGUCUGAUUAGAUAGUUGGUAAGGUAACGGCUUACCAAGUCGACGAUCAGUAGCCGGACUGAGAGGUUGAACGGCCACAUUGGGACUGAGAUACGGCCCAGACUCCUACGGGAGGCAGCAGUCGGGAAUAUUGCGCAAAGGAGGAAACUCUGACGCAGAGACGCCGCGUGCAGGAAGAAGGUUUUCGGAUUGUAAACUGCUUUAGACAGGGAAGAAACAAGACAGUACCUGUAGAAUAAGCUCCGGCUAACUACGUGCCAGCAGCCGCGGUAAUACGUAAGGAGCAAGCGUUAUCCGGAUUUAUUGGGCGUAAAGGGUGCGUAGACGGGAAUGCAAGUUGGUUGUGAAAUCCCUCGGCUCAACCGAGGAAUUGCAACCAAAACUAUAUUUCUUGAGUGCUGGAGAGGAAAGAGAAAUUCCUAGAGUAGCGGCGAAAUGCGUAGAUAUUAGGAGGAACACCAGUGGCGAAGGCGACUUUCUGGACAGUAACUGACGUUGAGGCACGAAAGUGUGGGGAGCAAACAGGAUUAGAUACCCUGGUAGUCCACACCGUAAACGAUGGAUACUAGGUGUAGGGGAUGAAUAAUCUUCUGUGCCGUCGCAAACGCAGUAAGUAUCCCACCUGGGGAGUACGGCCGCAAGGUUGAAACUCAAAGGAAUUGACGGGGGCCCGCACAAGCAGUGGAGUAUGUGGUUUAAUUCGACGCAACGCGAAGAACCUUACCAGGGCUUGACAUAUACAUGAAAAUCUAAGAGAUUAGAUCCCUCUUCGGAGCAUGUAUACAGGUGGUGCAUGGUUGUCGUCAGCUCGUGUCGUGAGAUGUUGGGUUAAGUCCCGCAACGAGCGCAACCCCUGUUCUUAGUUGCCAGCAUGUAAAGAUGGGAACUCUAAGAAGACUGCCGGUGAUAAAUCGGAGGAAGGUGGGGACGACGUCAAAUCAUCAUGCCCUUUAUGUCCUGGGCUACACACGUACUACAAUGGCUGUAACAAAGGGAAGCGAACCCGCGAGGGGAAGCAAAACCCAUAAAAGCAGUCUCAGUUCGGAUUGAAGGCUGAAAUUCGCCUUCAUGAAGCCGGAAUUGCUAGUAAUGGCAGGUCAGCAUACUGCCGUGAAUACGUUCCCGGGCCUUGUACACACCGCCCGUCACACCAUGAGAGUUGGGGAUACCCGAAGCCUGUGAGCUAACUGUAAAGAGGCAGCAGUCGAAGGUAGAAUCAAUGAUUG
rnacentral:rRNA from 1 species